ensembl:lncRNA
CGGCCUUAUCACUUUCAGAGGUCAUAAUAAGAAAAUCCAAUAUAGAACUCAAGUCCUUUAUUGAAAAAAUAUAAAUAUCAAACUCACAAAGGAUGGGCAGUAUAUACAGGCCGGAAUUCAGUCGUUACAGAUAGAUGUCACACUGAGCUUUGAAGUGCAUUUGUUUUGCACAGCAGCAUGUCUCAGAAGGAAGGAGUGGACACUUGAUUUGCGAAUAGUCAGUCCUGUGGUGUGAUCCGUUUGGUGAACCUGGCUGAGAAGUCAUCCAGUACAUGCAACGAGACUGAUCUCUAAGUCUAGUUUUAACUAGUCCCUUUCCCCAGCUCAGUAUUCACAGAUCUGAAGGGUUCAGAUAGGGAUAUGUAUGUUGGUGAUGUCUGAACCCAGCCCUAUAUGGACCUUCCUCUGUAUUCCUUUCACCAAUCAAGUUUGGAAGAAAUAUAUUCUUAAGACAAAGUACUGAAACAGAAUUCAGAUGUGUGUACAUGAACAACACAAGCAUUCAGUCAUCAACACCACUAGUGUUGAGGUCUGGAGUUUAAACAGCGAUACAUACAAUGAUUGUACAAGUACAGGUUUUUGCAUGUGCCAGGACUCCAUUUUAGAACAGUCUUGGUCCAGUCCCAAAAUAAAGUAAUGUGAGCUGGUCUUAAUUCAUAACAUCUUCUGUGACAGAAUUACCGGAGACAUACCAGUAACAAAACUAAAACCUGGGAUAUACCAGGUUAGUGGUCUUUCCCAACAAAUGUUCUCAACAAUCUGGUGGCAACUUGUGUACAAUACUGUUACCCCUUACUUUAGUCCGUCACAGACUGAUAUACAGAUUUAUUUGAGAUUUAUUUUUUGAAAUUCGGGUGACAAUUAUAUUGUGAAAACAGUUAUGCUCAGAUUUGAGGGUAUUUUGAAGGAAUUUGAUAAAGACAAACACUGUUUGGCAAAUUUUAAAUUAAGGUAUUAAAAAAAACUCAUGCACCAUUGUUGUUAGUAAUACAUUUCAGUACUGUAGAGCUCUCUCUAAGUAAUAAAACCUCUCAGUACUGCAGAGCUCUCUCUUAGUAAUAAAACAUCUCAGUACUGCAGAGCUCUCUCUUAAUAAUAAAACAACUUAAUGCAGAGCUCUCUUAGUAAUAAAACAUCUUACUGCAGAGCUCUCUCUUAGUAAUAAAACAUCUCAGUACUGCAGAACUCUCUCUUAGUAAUAAAACAUCUCAGUGCUGUAGAGCUCUCUCUUAGUAAUACAACAUCUCAGUACUGCAGAGCUCUCUCUUAGUAAUAAAACCUCUCAGUACUGCAGAGCACUCUCUUAGUAAUAAAACAUCUCAGUACUGCAGAGCUCUCUCUUAGUAAUAAAGCAUCUCAGUACCGCAGAGCUAUCUCUUAGUAAUAAAACAUCUCAGUACUGCAGAGCUCUCUCUUAUUAAUAAAACAUCUCAGUACCACAGAGCUCUCUCUUAGUAAUAAAACAUCUCAGUACCACAGAGCUCUCUCUUAGUAAUAAAACAUCUCAGUACCACAGAGCUCUCUCUUAGUAAUACAACAUCUCAGUACUGCAGAGCUCUCUCUUAGUAAUUAAACAUCUUACUGCAGAGCUCUCUCUUAGUAAUAGAACAUCUCAGUACUGCAGAGCUCUCUCUUAGUAAUAAAACAUUUCAGUACUGCAGAGCUCUCUCUUAGUAAUAAAACAUCUCAGUACUGCAGAGCUCUCUCUUAGUAAUAAAACAUCUCAGUACUGCAGAGCUCUCUCUUAGUAAUAAAACAUCUCAGUACUGCAGAGCUCUCUCUUAGUAAUAAAGCAUCUCAGUACUGCAGAGCUCUCUCUUCGUUAUCUCUCUUAAGUUAUUCUGAGAAAAAUAAACAAUACCAACCCAUACAAGGCUUACAAGGCUUGAAGAACUUUGAAAUUCACAAGCUGCGAUUUAAAACAGAAAGUGCAUUGGGUUGGCAUUAAGCGCUCUGGGGAAAAUACCUGAAAAGGAAUCAUACAACCACAAAGUGAUUGACACUAUCAGACCUCAUGAUAAGGCCCAGACAGUUUGAAGAAACAAAAGUGUAUUACAAACAGAGUAGGUAAAACGACAGGUCAACAGGCUCAUGGUCAGGGCAGGCAGAGGUUAGUAAUCCAGGACAGUGUCACAAGGUACAGAACGGGCAGGCAGGCUCAGGGAAGGUGGGCUCAGGGCAGGCAGGCUCAGGGCAGGCAGGCUCAGGGCAGGCAGGCUCAGGGUAGGCAGGCUCAGGGCAAGCAGGCUCAGGGCAGGCAGGCUCAGGGCAGGCAGGCUCAGGGCAAGCAGGCUCAGGGCAAGCAGGCUCAGGGCAGGCAGGCUCAGGGCAGGCAGGCUCAGGGCAGGCAGGCUCAGGGCAGGCAGGCUCAGGCUCAGGGCAGGCAGAUGGUCAAAACUGGGAAAACUAGAAAACAGGGACUAGAAAGACACAGGAGUAUGGGGGAAAACACUGGUACGCUUGACGAGACAAGAUGAACUGGCAACAGACAAACAGAAAACACAGGUAUAAAUGCAUAGGAGAUUAUCAGCUUUAAUUUGAGGGUAUUCUCAUCCGUAUCAGGUGAGCCGUUUAGAAAUUACAGUUUUUUUUUUACAUAGGCCUCCCAUUUUAUGGACCCAAAGUAUUGGGACAAAUUCACCAUAUUUGGUCCCAUAUUUCUAGCACACAAUAAUUACAUCAAGCUUGUGACUAAAAACUUGUUGGAUCCAUUUGCUGUUUGUUUUGCAGAUUAAUUUGUGCCCAAUAGAAAUGAAUGGUAAAUAAUGUAUUCUGUCACUUUUAUUGUAAAUUAGAAUAUAUGUUUCUUUACACCUCUACAUUAAUAUGGAUGCUACCAUGAUUAUGGAUAAUCCUGAAUGAAUCAUAAAUAAUGAGUGAGAAAGUUAGACGCACAAAUAUCAGACACCCAAGACUUGCUAACCUCUGCAUCUAACUUUCUCACUCCUCACUGCAUUAUUCAUGAUUCAUUCAGGAUUAUCCGUAAUCAUGGUAGCGUCCGUGUUAAUGUAAAAGUGUUUAGAAACAUUAUUUUCUUAUUUAGAAUAAAAGUGACUCAAUAAUACACAUAAGUGAAUUUGUCCCAAUACUUUAGGUCCCCUAAAAUGGCGGGACGAUGUACAAAAGUGCUGUAAUUUCUAAACGGUUCAACUGAUAUGGAUGAAAAUACCCUCAAAUCAAAGCUGUCAGUCUGUACUUUAACUUUAUAGUCAUUGUAUAAUUUCAAAUUCAAAGUGCUGGAGUACAGAGCCAAAACAACAAAAGAUGUCUGUGCCAAUACUUCGUAGCUCACUGUACUUCAUCUGAUUCCAUGCAUGUUACUUUGUGCAAUGUUCGCCUGUUGUUUUCCCUCAUUUUACAUUUCAUUUAAAACAUCUCCAACAGUUCAAACAUGUUUCUCUCUUCUUGGUCGUUUGUCUCAAUGUAACAGAUAUGGAGUCAUGUACUGAGAGCCUUCAAACCCCAUGUUUCUGCUCCUCAGUUACCCCACAAGGAAGACCACCAGCUGGAAGGAAGCAACAGAGGAAAGAACUCAUGAGACAAAACAUUACUAAUGACUAGGGCCAGGAGUUUUUCCUGGUCAGGUCACAUGGUCUGGAAAAACUCUUGGUCUUUUGUUAUAAAUGCAACAACAGGUGUUGUUCCUUUCCUUUAAGAAUACCAGCACCA